rnacentral:rRNA from 1 species
GAUUAAGUUAUUAAGGGCGCACGGUGGAUGCCUUGGCACUAGAAGCCAAUGAAGGACGUUACUAACGACGAUAUGCUUUGGGGAGCUGUAAGUAAGCUUUGAUCCAGAGAUUUCCGAAUGGGGAAACCCAGCAUGAGUUAUGUCAUGUUAUCGAUAUGUGAAUACAUAGCAUAUCAGAAGGCACACCCGGAGAACUGAAACAUCUUAGUACCCGGAGGAAGAGAAAGAAAAUUCGAUUCCCUUAGUAGCGGCGAGCGAAACGGGAAGAGCCCAAACCAACAAGCUUGCUUGUCGGGGUUGUAGGACACUCUAUACGGAGUUACAAAGGACGACAUUAGACGAAUCAUCUGGAAAGAUGAAUCAAAGAAGGUAAUAAUCCUGUAGUCGAAAAUGUUGUCUCUCUUGAGUGGAUCCUGAGUACGACGGAGCACGUGAAAUUCCGUCGGAAUCUGGGAGGACCAUCUCCUAAGGCUAAAUACUCUCUAGUGACCGAUAGUGAACCAGUACCGUGAGGGAAAGGUGAAAAGCACCCCGGAAGGGGAGUGAAAUAGAACCUGAAACCGUGUGCUUACAAGUAGUCAGAGCCCGUUAAUGGGUGAUGGCGUGCCUUUUGUAGAAUGAACCGGCGAGUUACGAUUUGAUGCAAGGUUAAGCAGUAAAUGUGGAGCCGUAGCGAAAGCGAGUCUGAAUAGGGCGUUUAGUAUUUGGUCGUAGACCCGAAACCAGGUGAUCUACCCUUGGUCAGGUUGAAGUUCAGGUAACACUGAAUGGAGGACCGAACCGACUUACGUUGAAAAGUGAGCGGAUGAACUGAGGGUAGCGGAGAAAUUCCAAUCGAACCUGGAGAUAGCUGGUUCUCUCCGAAAUAGCUUUAGGGCUAGCCUCAAGUGAUGAUUAUUGGAGGUAGAGCACUGUUUGGACGAGGGGCCCCUCUCGGGUUACCGAAUUCAGACAAACUCCGAAUGCCAAUUAAUUUAACUUGGGAGUCAGAACAUGGGUGAUAAGGUCCGUGUUCGAAAGGGAAACAGCCCAGACCACCAGCUAAGGUCCCAAAAUAUAUGUUAAGUGGAAAAGGAUGUGGCGUUGCCCAGACAACUAGGAUGUUGGCUUAGAAGCAGCCAUCAUUUAAAGAGUGCGUAAUAGCUCACUAGUCGAGUGACACUGCGCCGAAAAUGUACCGGGGCUAAACAUAUUACCGAAGCUGUGGAUUGUCCUUUGGACAAUGGUAGGAGAGCGUUCUAAGGGCGUUGAAGCAUGAUCGUAAGGACAUGUGGAGCGCUUAGAAGUGAGAAUGCCGGUGUGAGUAGCGAAAGACGGGUGAGAAUCCCGUCCACCGAUUGACUAAGGUUUCCAGAGGAAGGCUCGUCCGCUCUGGGUUAGUCGGGUCCUAAGCUGAGGCCGACAGGCGUAGGCGAUGGAUAACAGGUUGAUAUUCCUGUACCACCUAUAAUCGUUUUAAUCGAUGGGGGGACGCAGUAGGAUAGGCGAAGCGUGCGAUUGGAUUGCACGUCUAAGCAGUAAGGCUGAGUAUUAGGCAAAUCCGGUACUCGUUAAGGCUGAGCUGUGAUGGGGAGAAGACAUUGUGUCUUCGAGUCGUUGAUUUCACACUGCCGAGAAAAGCCUCUAGAUAGAAAAUAGGUGCCCGUACCGCAAACCGACACAGGUAGUCAAGAUGAGAAUUCUAAGGUGAGCGAGCGAACUCUCGUUAAGGAACUCGGCAAAAUGACCCCGUAACUUCGGGAGAAGGGGUGCUCUUUAGGGUUAACGCCCAGAAGAGCCGCAGUGAAUAGGCCCAAGCGACUGUUUAUCAAAAACACAGGUCUCUGCUAAACCGUAAGGUGAUGUAUAGGGGCUGACGCCUGCCCGGUGCUGGAAGGUUAAGAGGAGUGGUUAGCUUCUGCGAAGCUACGAAUCGAAGCCCCAGUAAACGGCGGCCGUAACUAUAACGGUCCUAAGGUAGCGAAAUUCCUUGUCGGGUAAGUUCCGACCCGCACGAAAGGCGUAACGAUUUGGGCACUGUCUCAACGAGAGACUCGGUGAAAUCAUAGUACCUGUGAAGAUGC